rnacentral:lncRNA from 1 species
CCCCCCCCAAGUGUCUCCAAUUGAGGAGCACGUCAAACGCAAGGAAGGAAAAGCUAAUUUCCACAGCCCGCGUAUCGAUAUUAGCUCGCUUACUGCUUUCAUUUUAGCCACACCCACCUUUAUGUAAUUAUAAAAUAUGGGAACGGUACAGCUCGAGAAAUAAGAAAGCCAAAAGGAGCGGCGGUGCGACGGAGCCCAGCGGGCGCAGGGCGCGGGCUUUCAUUUCAAUGAGAAACGGGAACGAAGCGCCGGCUGCGGACCGACGCCGGGAGAGCGGGGUGGAAAAUGCCCCCGCACCUGUGCGGCACCGAGCGGGGCAGGACGCCGAGCUCCUGAAAGCGAAAGUCGGUGCCGGUGGGCGGACGGCCGCCGGGUGCCGCCGCUCCUCGAGCCCUCAUCCCCGCCGAGAGCGCGGCCCGACGAGGCGGCCCGGCGCGCAUUCCCAUGGUGGCCGCUAAAAACGCUUCCCGAGCCGCGACGCGAAUGUACGGAAACGAAGGCUGCGUUGCGGCGGAGCCUCCGAGAUCGCGAUGCCGGCGAGAGCCCGCCGCGUUCGCGUUCGGCGGCUAUCGGGGCGGCGAGGGGACAACCGGCGGAGCGGCUCCGCCCGGGAUAAAAAGCGGCGCUGGGAAAGUGCCGAGCGCGGGGCGCGCACCGAGGAGCCGAGCGAAGCGGCGGGGAUCCCUGCGUGACACGCCAAAUACCUUCAGCCCCGCGCCGGAGGGAGGGAGGGAGGGACGGAGGGAAAAGGGAGAGGCGAACUUUUGCGUUUCGCUUUAAGGCGCCGCCGCGCUCCGCUCCCGCAGCGCUGCCCGCCCCCGGCGCGGCACAGCACAGCACGGCACGGCACGGCGCGGGGCGAUGCGAUGCGCGGGGCCGAACCCGGCCGCAUCCCGGCGGCUCCGAACCGCGGAAGGAGAGAGAAACGGAACGGAGCGGGGAGGGGGGGUGGGGGGGGGGGUGCGGCGAGAUGCGCGGCGGUGUCACGGAGCGCCGCUCGGCGCCUAUCGCGAUCCGCCGAGGGGUGACAUGGAAACAGGCACCAAAAAAUAGCAGAGCCAAUGACGAACGGCGGCCGGGUGACAGAGCGGAGCGCUCCGGAGGCGGAGAGGAGGAGCAGAGCAGUUGCCAAGUGAUCUUCUCCACAGCACCCACGAACUUUGGCCUUACACUGAAGAGGACUCGUCAAAUGCUUUGGGAGAUACAACACAGAAUUGGAAGAGAAGCAUGGAUCUACCUGAAGGGCAGUUCGCUGCAUUCUUGGUGUGUGGAGGAACGGGUCCCGUGCUCACUGUUGUUACUCCCACAUAGGCGGACUCUGUAACUGAUUAUAUGUGGGUAGGGCCCUAUUGAAAUUAAGGAGAUUCUGCAGUAGUGCGGGGUUCUGUUUGUGUGACCCUACUGUGCCUUCUUACUGUGAAUUCUGUCAGUGUAUCAUGGGUUGUGCUGGAACCUGCCUUUUGGGAUAAUGUAAGUUCUGCCUUUCCCCCAAAUGUACUUUAGACGUGAAAUAAUCAUUAAAAAAAAAGUUUUGAAUUAGAAAAUAAAUAUAAUUUACAUGCGUUCUUUUAAUUAUGUUUUUUUGGCAGUACCAAAUAAUAUAUUCCUCAAAACUUCUUAAUGGCACUGAGGCUUUGUGGAUAGUUGGUCACAUGAUGAGAAAAUUCAGCUGUAAGUACACUGAAAUGAUUGAAUUUUUCAAUAGUUAGUCUUUGCUGAUGUUGACAGACUAAUAAUGAUAAAAGGGUUAAUCAAGAGGUGUGAUUUAUGUGUGACUCCGGUUCUUUUUAGAAAAUCCAUACAAUAUAUCCAUUAAGGAUAUCAUUAUUCUUGGAUAAUUCACCACGUGAACCCGGAGUCCUUCAGCACUGCUGUUAGGUUGUAGAAAGCUACGUGUGGGAUACACAAAAAGAGGAAAUAACAUUACAUUCAUGGACUAUUUUAAGACCUGGGAUUAACUGCUUAACUUUGAAAACAUUAAAAAAAAGAGAGAGAGAGAAAACAUGGCAAGACGAACAAUAUUAGAACAUGAUCUGCUAGCAUUCAGUUGGAUACUGUCAUUUAAGUCACUCAGAUGUAGAGAGACAAAACAAACGAUGUGCAGAUUCUGCAAGGGGUUCAGCUCCUCUGUUUCAGGAAAUGGCAUGAAACAAACAAAAUGCUUGAAGCUGUCCACUUCUCUCUGAGCCUAAUGUCUGAACUGUCAGAGCUGGCAGUUCCUGUUUUGAGGGAAAAAAAGUCAUUUUAAGGCUUCUCUGAAAAGAGAUUCAGAAAAAUACAGCAGAUAGCACAGGAAAUAAUUUGGAGAUUCCUGGGACAAACUAUCUUUGAUUAAGAAAGCAAAGAGACUAGAUUCUCCAAAGGCAGGCAGCUGGAAAUAAAUGUGAAGAAAGACAGCCACCGCAGCAUUUAAAGCACUUCUUUGAUCUGUUAUCUUACAUCCUUUGUUUUAUUUUUCUUGGUCCAGAAUAUUUCGGCUUUAUUCAGACAAAACUCAUAUUGAAAACAGUGCAGAAUGUGACACGCGUUUACCACAAACUAGUAACUGUGUAAUCAUCAAAAGGGACUCCACUGAAUAUUUCAGCUAGCAGCAUCCUUCUGCCUCUGAUUCAGAAGGUGCUGUGAUCUGUUUUGAGGCAAGGGAGAGGGAUGUGGGCUUUGAGUCAAACCUUCCUUCUGCUUCUGCCUGGUUCUCAAAGCAAACAAUACUUACGCUUCUCUGUCCAUCUAUAUGGCUGCUCAU